AAGAGGUUUAAGAAGCUUCAUGUAUUCUUCUGCAAAACUACUUACUUUACAAAAAAAUAAAUCAAAUAAUCAGCUUGAGAUGCAAACAUAUAAUGCUAAUGAUAGCAGUAAACCUGCUGCAGGCUUGAACAGAAAACAAAAGCCCCAGAAAUUUCCUUCCUAUUUUGCGCCCCCAACAAGCUUCUUUUUUAAAGACCUAACAAAAGAUCUAAAACAGUUCUGUGACUUUUCUGCAGGUUUUAAGAUUCCUGCAGCAGCAACCUCAUUCAAAGUGAAGAAGGAUAUGGAAGAAAGAGAGGCAUCUUGAAGCUCAGGUUAAGUGAAGAAAAAACUGCCUGUAGGGCAUGCAGGAAGGAACUGCAGAUGGGCCCCUGGGGCAGCACCCAGGGAAGUGGUGGUGAAUAUUUAAGUAAGAAGAAGAAAUGGAAUUUGUUCCAAACUGUUUAAAGCUCUGUAUCUACAGAACUAGAGCGGGGAGUGAAGGGCUCUUGGGAAGAUUUCCUCUAGAAAAAAUAGGUUUGAGCUUUGUCUAAAGAGGAAAAUUAGAAGGUUCUCUAGCAAACGCAAGGGAAGGAAUUUAAAACCCCUUGGAAGGAUCUGCAGCUAUCAAAUUGGAUGAAGUUUUCUCAUACAUGGAGGCUCUCUGCCUCAGCUGGAUUGCCACAGGAGGCUGGGGAAAAGGUACUUUUCAGUAAGUCUGGAGAUGACUGGGUGGUGGCAUCGCAAGUUUGGAGAACGAGGAGUUCCCUUCUAAAAGCUAAAGAGACUUUUGUGAAACAACCGGGAGGAUGAGAAGGGAUUCCUCGCAAAGUCGGGAGUCUGGAGACUCCAGAGGCCUGAACUAAUUUCUGAGGAGUUGGGUUUCUCGGGUGUGGCCUCCGGAGGAGACAGCAAGGCACCUUGUGUAACAAUGCCACAUUUCACUUGUUGGACGUGGGGAAUCCGCCCUAUGACUGAGAAUAAAGGCCCCCGUCGUCACUAACGGGAAGCCUGGAACCGUGUCUAAAAGGGUGUGCCUGCAGCAAUUUGGGAGGAAAUGCCACACGCACCCCAGGCCCGGGACCAGGGACAGUAAUACUUUGUCACUAAGCCAACAGGAGAAGCAAAGGAGCGUUUGAAAAGAACACCACCGCUCCCAACUCACUGGAAAGUUGGAGGAAAGUGAGGAACUCUGGAGAGUUGGGAAAUGAUUUGAAAGCAACCCAACUGGAAGCUGGGAUAAAACCAGAAAAACUGAGCAUGCUAAAGGUGCUCAAUGACAAAUGUGUUGGAUUGGAGUGAAGACCCCUCCCUUGGGGGAUUCCAUACCUCAAGACCUCUUUCCUCUGGAAAAACUAAAACUGUCCAGUGAAAGUUCACCUCUUGAAAUCAAGACAACUUGAGACCAGUACCACCUUUACCACUUGCCAGCCGUGUGACCUGGGAUAAUUUGUUUCAGAUCUCCAAAUUUCACUUUCCUUUUAUAAAUAUGAUCCAUCUCACACAUUCAAGAAAAAAAAAGUGUGGAAGGUUUCAGAGAAACAAGACGCUUCAAGUUUCUGAUAUAGUUUGAAAGAAAAGAUAAAGCCAGAUCACCCUAUGGUAAGAAUUUUCUUGUAUAAAACAAUAUGAAUUUCACCCCUUGGAAAAAUGUGUUUGGGCUUUAAAAUCUAUGUAACAAACAUCCCCAGAAGAAUGCUUUGUUUUAUUAA